AUUGAACGCUGGCGGAAUGCUUUACACAUGCAAGUCGAACGGCAGCACGGACUUCGGUCUGGUGGCGAGUGGCGAACGGGUGAGUAAUACAUCGGAACGUGCCCAGUCGCGGGGGAUAACGUAGCGAAAGCUACGCUAAUACCGCAUACGAUCUAAGGAUGAAAGCGGGGGAUCGCAAGACCUCGCGCGAUUGGAGCGGCCGAUGGCAGAUUAGGUAGUUGGUAGGGUAAAGGCCUACCAAGCCGACGAUCUGUAGCUGGUCUGAGAGGAUGAUCAGCCACACUGGGACUGAGACACGGCCCAGACUCCUACGGGAGGCAGCAGUGGGGAAUUUUGGACAAUGGGCGCAAGCCUGAUCCAGCCAUUCCGCGUGCAGGAUGAAGGCCUUCGGGUUGUAAACUGCUUUUGUACAGAACGAAAAGGCUCUGGUUAAUACCCGGGGCUCAUGACGGUACUGUAAGAAUAAGCACCGGCUAACUACGUGCCAGCCGCCGCGGUAAGAC
rnacentral:rRNA from 1 species